CGGCGGACGGGUGAGUAACACGUGGAUAACCUACCUAUAAGACUGGGAUAACUACGGGAAACCGGAGCUAAUACCGGAUAAUAUAUUGAACCGCAUGGUUCAAUAGUGAAAGACGGUUUUGCUGUCACUUAUAGAUGGAUCCGCGCCGCAUUAGCUAGUUGGUAAGGUAACGGCUUACCAAGGCAACGAUGCGUAGCCGACCUAAGAGGGUGAUCGGCCACACUGGAACUGAGACACGGUCCAG
rnacentral:rRNA from 1 species